AUGCGAUAAGUAGUGUGAAUUGCAGAAUUCAGUGAAUCAUCGAAUCUUUGAACGCACAUUGCGCCCCUUGGUAUUCCAUGGGGCAUGCCUGUUCGAGCGUCAUUUGUACCUUCAAGCUUUGCUUGGUGUUGGGUGUUUGUCCUGAGGGACUCGCCUUAAAGUAAUUGGCAGCCAGUGUUUGGUUUUGAAGCGCAGCACAAGUCGCGAUUCAAAGCUAUACGCCCGCUUCCACAAGCCUUUUUCACUUUUGACCUCGGAUCAGGUAGGGAUACCCGCUGAACUUAA
rnacentral:misc_RNA from 1 species